rnacentral:rRNA from 1 species
AUUGAACGCUGGCGGCAGGCCUAACACAUGCAAGUCGAACGAGUGGCGGACGGGUGAGUAAUGUCUGGGAAACUGCCCGAUGGAGGGGGAUAACUACUGGAAACGGUAGCUAAUACCGCAUACCAUCGGAUGUGCCCAGAUGGGAUUAGCUUGUAGGUGAGGUAACGGCUCACCUAGGCGACGAUCCCUAGCUGGUCUGAGAGGAUGACCAGCCAGAAGUGAACGUAGACACGGUCAAGACCCCGACGGGAGGCAGCCGGGGGGAAUAGUGCAAAAUGGGCGCAAGCUUGAUGAAGCCAUGCCGCGGGUAUGAAGAAGGUCUUCGGGUUGUAAAGGACUUUCAGCGGGGCGGCGUUACCCGCAGAAGAAGCACCGGCUAACACCGUGCCAGACGCCGCGGUAAUUC